rnacentral:rRNA from 2 species
UACGUAGGGUGCAAGCGUUAAUCGGAAUUACUGGGCGUAAAGCGUGCGCAGGCGGUGAUGUAAGACAGUUGUGAAAUCCCCGGGCUCAACCUGGGAACUGCAUCUGUGACUGCAUCGCUGGAGUGCGGCAGAGGGGGAUGGAAUUCCGCGUGUAGCAGUGAAAUGCGUAGAUAUGCGGAGGAACACCGAUGGCGAAGGCAAUCCCCUGGGCCUGCACUGACGCUCAUGCACGAAAGCGUGGGGAGCAAACAGG